GGAGGGAUGGCAGAGCGGACGAAUGCGCUGGUCUUGAAAACCAGUGGGCCGCAAGGUCCCGCGGGUUCGAAUCCCGCUCCCUCCGCCA
rnacentral:tRNA from 1 species